GGCGGCGGGUGAGUAAUGCUUAGGAUUCUGCCUAUUAGUGGGGGCCACCAUUCCGAAAGGGAUGCUAAUACCGCAUACGUCCUACGGGAGAAAGCAGGGGAUCUUCGGCCCUUGCGCUAAUAGAUGAGCCUAAGUCGGAUUAGCUAGUUGGUGGGGUAAAGGCCUACCAAGCCGACGAUCUGUAGCUGGUCUGAGAGGACGCCCAGCCCCUGGGACUGAGACCCGGCCCAGACUCCUACGGGAGGCAGCAGUGGGGAAUUUUGGACAAUGGGCGCAAGCCUGAUCCAGCCAUGCCGCGUGCAGGAUGAAGGCCUUCGGGUUGUAAACUGCUUUUGUACGGAACGAAAAGACUCUGGUUAAUACCUGGGGUCCAUGACGG
rnacentral:rRNA from 1 species